GCGGAGGUUGCAGUGAGCCGAGAUCAGGCCAUUGCACUCCAGGCCUGGGCAACAAGAGCAAAACUCCGUCUCAAAAAAAAAAAAAAAAAAAAAAAAAAAAAGGCAAAGCACAAUUCGGGUGGGAAGGGCAGUGUGCAGCGUUCUCCGUUGUCUGUUCCGCCCCCAAAAGCUUCCCUCCUUUAGGUUUAACCUGCGCCCCCGCGCUCUGCAUCAGCGCGGUCCCCGACCCCGUGCAGUUGGAAACACUGGGCGCCUCCCUGCCGGGCCCCUUCCCGCCCCUGUGGUGGUGCAGCCCUGCCUCCCGCAAGACAGCACUGCCUUCGUGCUGGACACAGUUCUAUGGUGGAGCCUGGAGUGCCUGUAGCACAAAUCCCGGAGUUGGGAAGUGCCCACCUUUGGGCCAGUGUGAUCCCUGGGUCUUUCCCGGGGUGGUCUCAUGCGGCCUUCCACUCCAGUCCUGUGUCCUGUGCCCCGGUUCAGAAUACUACAAUUAUUCUCGUUAUUUCAUGGGGUUAUUCCAGCUUUUCAGUUUCGUCAGUGCCUCAUUCCAUGAAUGCUAACUUUUUUCAUCCUCAUAGUUCCUAGGGUUGUCUCUGAAUUUUCACCCAGUUGCCUACCAAGAUGUUGUCUGUGUCUAAUGCAGGGGACGGUGCAGGUCUGAAUAUCUUACCCACAGCUCACCUUUUUGGUGCCUUUGAUCCGUGUUAGGAAUUAUCCACAUCUUCUCUCUGGGCAGUAUUCUACUUUCUUUUUCUAUUGACCCAAUUAUUUUACUUCUUUGGUGUGUCCUUUCUCCUAACACAUACAGGUUCACUUUGAAACCUUGAAACCCACAUUUACAAAAACAUUUUCAAUAUGAAACAUUGUUCCAUGACUCAUUACUGGAGUACCAUCAACAUUUACAUUUCCAGACCACCCACUGCCCAGUGGUUUUCUUGGUCUCAGUACUCAUGAAAACGGUCUGAAGGUUUGUUUUGGGUUCCUAAGUAGUAGACACACGCACAACACUGCCUGUCAGUUAUUUCUUGGAAACUAAAUCAGCCCUUCUGUUGCCAUCCUAUCAUGCUUCAGGGGUGCCUGUGCUAGUUUUUAAUUCUUUGUUCUAACACUUAAAUGUUUGCUCAAACACCCAUAUUAAUACUUCCUCUUAGUUUACAAAAGGAUUUACUUUCUUACUGGUUGGGAUGAAGCUGCUUGAGGUUGCCACCUGUUAUUUUUCCUUCAUUUAUUGGACCAUGUCAUCCCAUUACAUGUCAGCCGUGGAGGUUUUCAAACUGUGGUCCCUGGACAUGUUAAAAAUGCAAAUUCUCAGGCUGAACCAGGACUGAAUUGGAAGAUCUGGGGUAGGGUCCCCCUAGGACUGAAUCAGAAGAUCUGGGAGGGUCUGGUGCUGUGCACCCCGACAUUCCCUCACUACCCCACUGCCUCUCCCUGCCCUGUGGUCACCACAGCAGCCGCC
rnacentral:lncRNA from 1 species